CCUACGGGCGGCAGCAGUGGGGGAUAUUGCACAAUGGGGGGAACCCUGAUGCAGCGACGCCGCGUGGGUGAAGGAGUGCUUCGGCAUGUAAAGCCCUAUCGGCAGGGAAGAAGCAAGACGGUACCUGACUAAGAAGCCCCGGCUAACUACGUGCCAGCAGCCGCGGUAAUACGUAGGGGGCGAGCGUUAUCCGGAUUCACUGGGUGUAAAGGGAGCGUAGACGGCCAUGCAAGCCAGGGGUGAAAGCCCGGGGCCCAACCCCGGGACUGCCCUUGGAACUGGGCGGCUAGAGUGCGGGAGGGGCAGGCGGAAUUCCUGGUGUAGCGGUGAAAUGCGUAGAUAUCAGGAGGAACACCGGCGGCGAAGGCGGCCUGCUGGACUGCGACUGACGUUGAGGCUCGAAAGCGUGGGGAGCGAACAGGAUUAGAUACCCCUGUAGUC
rnacentral:rRNA from 1 species